rnacentral:lncRNA from 1 species
CAUUCACGAGCACUCUUCACCCUGAAUUCCUUUCUUCAGUUACGAACUGGUAGACUUUCACAUUCACAUGCCUCCAUCCACUAGUGCCAUUGAUGAGCAACCCUUUUUCAUUCAGCACUGAGCACAUUGUCCUGCAACAUGCUCCCCCACUCUGAGUCAUUGACACCCACAACAAACUUAGACAUCUAAUUCCUCUGAACUUAGACUUCAAAUUCACAUUGCUUUGGAUACCCCCGUAUCUGCAACCAAAACAUGCAACUUGAUACCAC